CAUUAGAAAUAUAAGGAGAGGGUAAGGAGAUCAAACUACAUUUGCAGCUUAAACCUUAUAACAAGGAAGUAUACUAAAAUGUUAAUAAUACUUAAGAACAAACAUGUUCCUGUUCAAUUUAUCAUGUGGUUAAUGUCUGAAUUGGAAACAUAGAUUCAUAGUAAAUAGCUAUGCACUAAUUUGAUAUAUUUAAAACUUAGUAUGUCAUGUGUCUAUAAUCAUCUAUAUUUAAUUUAUUUAUCGAUUAGCCUCUAACUUUCUAUAUUAAAAAAAAAGUAAUGAACUAAUCAAUGGCAAAGAGAGUUCCAACUUUCUGAAAUAAUGUUCUCAUUCCAGCUAUUCGAACACAAAAUACCCAAAAAGGAUUGCUUUCUACUGCUCUCAAUGUCUUGGCUCAGGUUCUCUUCUAUUCGAAGAAGGUUUCUCGAUCAUCUGAAGGGGCUUAAUCGCCAUAUCUCCACAUCGGUGGAGGCAGUGAGCGAUGAUGUAAGGUUAAGGGGAACCGCUUAUGCAGGAGUUGUAGAACAGGUAUCUCUUUGCUGCAUAAAUUGGGAGCAGAGGUUAAUGGCAACACGGUGAAAGAUAUUUCUGGUGAGAAUAAAGCCUCUACCAAUGGCUGGUUCCAUUUCCGAUUGAUGCUGUGAUUGAUGAGGUUGGUGGAUGGUGUCAUGGAGAUGUUAAAACGGGUGGGGUGGUUUGUAGCCAAGAGUCAUUGAAGAUGCAAAUAUUAUUAACGGAUCCAACUUUUCAGCUCAG